rnacentral:misc_RNA from 1 species
GUGAAUCAUCGAAUUUUUGAACGCAAAUUGCACUCUCUUCGGAGAGUAUGCCUGUUUGAGGGUCAGCCUAAAAAAAAAUCGACAUAGUCGCUGUUUUGCGGUGGCAUUCGUUGGAAAUUGGGUCAUUUUAAAACUUUGGGGUUUAAGUGGCUUAAAAUUUUCUUUACGAUUUUGCGAACGUUUCUAAGAUUUAUUUCUUUUACGUUUAAGGUAAUGUAU